rnacentral:tRNA from 1 species
GCCGGAGUGGUGAAACAGGCAGACGCGCGGGACUCAAAAUCCCGUACCCGAAAGGGUGUGGGGGUUCGAUUCCCCCCUCCGGCACCA